UACGGGGGGGGUAAGCGUUGUCCGGAUUUAUUGGGCGUAAAGAGCGUGUAGGCGGCUUGGAAGGUCAGCUGUGAAAACUCGAGGCUCAACCUCGAGACGUCGGUUGAAACCACCUGGCUAGAGUCCGGAAGAGGAGAGUGGAAUUCCCGGUGUAGCGGUGAAAUGCGCAGAUAUCGGGAAGAACACCCGUGGCGAAGGCGGCUCUCUGGGACGGUACUGACGCUGAGACGCGAAAGCGUUGGGAGCGAACAGG
rnacentral:rRNA from 1 species